UUAGCCGUGUUUGCACUAUCGGGCUUCAAGCGGGCGUGCCAGUGCCUGCCGAGGCCUGUCGCGUUUGCAUUGUCACUUCCGGGGCAUGAUCGUGCUUCACUGGUGCUUCGUUGGUGCUUAAGGCCCCGCUUUUCUGGCCCGCCGAAAUCGUUGGGCCAAAGCGGGCUUCUCGGGGCUAUGGGAGUGGUAAAGGUCUAAGGCGGAGUUUAUCUGAGUCUCUGGCAAGAUGCGCAUCCAUCUGUCUGCAGAUUUAAAACUUUAAAUAUAACCGGGAUCACCAGUAAUUGACUGUUUCACGGAAGAUGCCUGCUAUGUUUGUACUUCGGACUGAAGAAAAUGAUCUGCAUAUGUAAAAAAAAAAAAAACACGCGUUACAACGCCGAACUCGCCAUGCUAAGGAUCCGGCGCACACCGCUACCGGUUCGGGAGAAGUUUAUAAAGUUUCGGGCACAGAACAAAGUGUUUAAAGUGCAACAGUGCUGAGAAAUUAAAGAUGUGUGUUGAAUCAUCAUUUCAUCGUCCAUCACUCCAUGUAUUAAAGCGAUCGAGUCACCAUGGUAUCUACAGUCGAAAAAUGCCAACGUAAAGCUUUCAGUUUGUCAUCCAGGAGAUUUUAUUUUGUAUAUGAGAGAUGACACAGCAACAAAUGCAAGAGUAGGUGAUGAAACGAAGAUGAUGAUGAUGAUGAUGAGACGACAGGAGCCAUGGAUGUUGAAAUCAGUCCGGAGGAGAUGUCUUUAAAUACACUGUUUGUGCACUGAUAUAAACUUCAUAUGUAAAUAAAGUACCGCGUUAUUACUACG